CCUACGGGAGGCACCAGUGGGGAAUAUUGCACAAUGGGCGCAAGCCUGAUGCAGCCAUGACGCGUGUAUGAAGAAGGCCUUCGGGUUGUAAAGUACUUUCAGUCGGGAGGAAGGUGGUGAGCUUAAUACGCUCAUCAAUUGACGUUACCAACAGAAGAAGCACCGGCUAACUCCGUGCCAGCAGCCGCGGUAAUACGGAGGGUGCAAGCGUUAAUCGGAAUUACUGGGCGUAAAGCGCACGCAGGCGGUUGAUUAAGUUAGAUGUGAAAUCCCCGGGCUUAACCUGGGAAUGGCAUCUAAGACUGGUCAGCUAGAGUCUUGUAGAGGGGGGUAGAAUUCCAUGUGUAGCGGUGAAAUGCGUAGAGAUGUGGAGGAAUACCGGUGGCGAAGGCGGCCCCCUGGACAAAGACUGACGCUCAGGUGCGAAAGCGUGGGGAGCAAACAGGAUUAGAUACCCGGGUAGUC
rnacentral:rRNA from 1 species